CUUGACACUGAACAUUGAGCCUUGAUGUGUAGGAUAGGUGGGAGGCUUUGAAGCGUGGACGCCAGUCUGCGUGGAGCCAACCUUGAAAUACCACCCUUUAAUGUUUGAUGUUCUAACGUUGGCCCCUUACCGGGGUUGCGGACAGUGUCUGGUGGGUAGUUUGACUGGGGCGGUCUCCUCCUAAAGCGUAACGGAGGAGCACGAAGGUUAGCUAAUCCUGGUCGGACAUCAGGAGGUUAGUGCAAUGGCAUAAGCUAGCUUGACUGCGAGCGUGACGGCGCGAGCAGGUGCGAAAGCAGGUCAUAGUGAUCCGGUGGUUCUGAAUGGAAGGGCCAUCGCUCAACGGAUAAAAGGUACUCCGGGGAUAACAGGCUGAUACCGCCCAAGAGUUCAUAUCGACGGCGGUGUUUGGCACCUCGAUGUCGGCUCAUCACAUCCUGGGGCUGAAGUAGGUCCCAAGGGUAUGGCUGUUCGCCAUUUAAAGUGGUACGCGAGCUGGGUUUAGAACGUCGUGAGACAGUUCGGUCCCUAUCUGCCGUGGGCGCUGGAGAAUUGAGGGGGGCUGCUCCUAGUACGAGAGGACCGGAGUGGACGCAUCACUGGUGUUCGGGUUGUCAUGCCAAUGGCACUGCCCGGUAGCUAAAUGCGGAAGAGAUAAGUGCUGAAAGCAUCUAAGCACGAAACUUGCCCCGAGAUGAGUUCUCCCUGAGACUUUAAGUCUCCUGAAGGAACGUUGAAGACGACGACGUUGAUAGGCCGGGUGUGUAAGCGCAGCGAUGCGUUGAGCUAACCGGUACUAAUGAACCGUGAGGCUUAACCUU
rnacentral:rRNA from 1 species